GCGUUAUCCGGAAUCAUUGGGCGUAAAGCGCCUGUAGGUUGUUUAAUAAGUCUGUUGUUAAAGCCUAGGGCUUAACCCUAGAAAAGCAAUGGAAACUACUAGACUGGAGUAUGGCAGGGGCAGAGGGAAUUUCUAGUGUAGCGGUGAAAUGCGUAGAUAUUAGAAAGAACACCGGUGGCGAAAGCGCUCUGCUGGACCAUUACUGACACUCAGAGGCGAAAGCUAGGGUAGCAAAAGGGAUUAGAUACCCCUGUAGUCCUAGCCGUAAACGAUGGAUACUAGAUGUUGUGCGUAGUGUACAGUAUCGUAGCUAACGCGUUAAGUAUCCCCGCCUGGGGAGUACGCUCGCAAGGGUGAAACUCAAAGGAAUUGACGGGGUCUCUGCACAAGCGGUGGAGCAUGUGGUUUAAUUCGAUGCAACGCGAAGAACCUUACCAGGCUCCCCCCCCCCACAGAUUCUUUAGAGAAAGAAGAGUGCCUUCGGGAAUGUAGAUACAGGUGGUGCAUGGCUGUCGUCAGCUCGUGUCGUGAGAUGUUGGGUUAAGUCCCGCAACGAGCGCAACCCUUAUUUUUAGUUGCCAGCAUUAAGAUGGGCACUCUAAAAAGACUGCCGGUGACAAACCGGAGGAAGGUGAGGACCACGUCAGUCA
rnacentral:rRNA from 1 species